rnacentral:RNase_P_RNA from 1 species
UGACCGGGCCGAGCAAUCGCGUGAUAUGGUGCCGAAAGGUAUUAUCAUGAGGAAAGUCCGGGCUUCAUAGGGCAGGAUAACGGAUAACGUCCGCCGAAGGUGACUUCCGGGAAAGUGCAACAGAAAAUUACCGCCGUGUCCGCACGGUAAGGAUGAAAAGGCGAGGUAAGAGCUCACCGUCCCCACGGUAACGCGGGGAGCCAUGUAAACCCUAUCCGAAGCAACGCCCCGCGCCCAGUGGCUUGCCCGGCCCGGGUCGCAAGACCCAGCGCGAGGAGGCAGUCUCCGAAAAUGAGACAAGCCGCACGGUAACGUGCGGCGAAGAUAGAUGAUUGCUCUCGACAGAACCCGGCUUAUAGGCCCGGUCAUUCC